rnacentral:lncRNA from 1 species
CAUACAUAUAUAAAGCAAGAAACAACAUGCUCAAUCAGCCACAAGUGAAGAAACAACUUGCUGAUACAUAACCACAUGACAUGAAAAUUUCAUGCAAAUAACUAGUAAUUAUAAUGGAGUCACACUAGAAGCUGCUGCAAAAUGAGUUGGUGUCCAGAACUCUUAUUUCUAGCAAGCAACUGGCUCUCUCUCAUUUAUUCUAACUCACUAGUUGAGAUGGACAGGUGGAGUUCAGGGCUUCUGGGGUGGAUUGUAGUAUGGGGGAGGCUUCUUCUUAUAUGGAGUUGGAGGAGGAGGAGGUUUCUUCCCUUCUGGCUUUUGUGGGGGUAGAGGAGCCUUGAUUGGAGGAGGGUGUUUAGGGUAACUAGGUGUGAUUGGUUUCACAACAGGAGGUAGAGUUGGUGUCUUAGGAUAAGGUGGUGGAAGUGGCUUGGUCACCGGCGUAGGUGGCGGUGAAUGUACAAUAGGAGGCUGAGUGCUUGGUGGUUUGCCAUAAGGUGAGGAUGGUGGUGGCCUCACCACUCUAGGAGGCAGAGUUGGUGGUUUGGGUUUGGGCACUAUUGGUGGUGAUGGCUUGUUAUAAACUGGGGGUGAUGGCUUCUUGAUGGGAGCUGGGGGCUUGUAAAUAGGAGAAGGAGUUGGUGGUUUGGGUUUGGGCACUAUUGGUGGUGAUGGCUUCUUGAUGGGAGCUGGGGGCUUGUAAAUAGGAGAAGGAGUGGGUGGCUUGGGUUUUUCAUUGUACUCAGCUAGAGAUGAAGUGAUGAGAACCACCAGGCCAAACAAUAGCACAAGCAACUUUGAGUAACUCAUG